rnacentral:lncRNA from 1 species
UGUCCUAAAGAGGGAAAAUAUAUAUCCACAUAAUGAAUACCAUGAGGAUGGAGGUGACUACAUUAAAAGGGAAUUAUUAUUUUCGAAAUCUUCUUUAAUUAUCACACAAUAAUGUUUCCCCACAUACACACAUAUACAUUCUUUUUAAAAAGAAAUACUAGCAGAAAUUAAAAACUAACACACAGAGAGAGGAUUAAUUAUGAACAUUACAAGCUUUUACAAGGGUAGAGCAAGAAUUAGAAAACGAAGAACAUUAAACAACCGAGAAGAGAACCCCACAAUUGUAGUGAAAAUGCUUUUUUACGAAUUGCCAAUGAAUUCAGGUUUCGUGGUUUUGGGAUUGGGACGUGUGGCAGAUCUUCUGAUUUUGGGAGUGGGAGUUCAUGUGGGAGUUCAACGGUAUAUCGCGGCUGCCCCAUGGCCCGGAUCCUCUUAAUCUCAACUCCUCCUAUCUCUAGCUUCCGAGGGCUGAAGUGAACUUGUUUCAACCCACCUUCAUGAAGCUGAUCAUGGAAGUGUUUGAGUAAAUAAGAGGAAGGCUACCAGUGAUACAGUCUUACACAGCAAAUAUUGCAUUAUCUUAGACAUGUUUUUGAUUGAUAAUAAGUAGAGAACAAGGAUUUUUGUGGGGAUAGGUUGCUUAUCUUAUUGAG